rnacentral:rRNA from 1 species
UACGUAGGGUGCAAGCGUUGUCCGGAAUUAUUGGGCGUAAAGAGCUCGUAGGCGGUUCGUCGCGUCGGCUGUGAAAUCCCGAGGCUCAACCUCGGGUCUGCAGUCGAUACGGGCGGACUGGAGUUCGGCAGGGGAGACUGGAAUUCCUGGUGUAGCGGUGAAAUGCGUAGAUAUCAGGAGGAAUACCGAUGGCGAAGGCAGGUCUCUGGGCUGACACUGACGCUCAUGCACGAAAGCGUGGGGAGCAAACAGG